rnacentral:tRNA from 1 species
GGGGAUUUAGCUCAGUGGUAGAGCGCUUGCCUAACAAGUACAAGGCCCUGGGUUCGGUCCCCAGCUCCG